AUUCUGGUUUAGAGUAAACGCUGGUAGCGUGUCUAAGACAUGCAAGUUGAAUGCUUUUCUUUGUAAAAGCAUAGCGCACGGGUGAGUAAUACUAGACUGUUCUGCCUUUGGGUCUGGAAUAAUUGGAACUUAUUUCUUUUAGAUUUAAGAGUUCAAGAAUACCGGAUAUUUUAAAGAUUUAUCGCCCUUAGAUGAUGUCUAGCCGGAUUAGGUAGUUGGUAGAGUAACAGCCUACCAAGCCAAUGAUCCGUAGUCGGCCUUAACGGGUGUACGGCCACAUCGGGACUGAGACACGGCCCGAGUUCCAUACGGAAUCUGCAGUCAGGAAUCUUGGACAAUGCACGAAAGUGUGAUCCAGCGACGUUACGUGAGGGAAGAAUGCCCAAUUGGCUGUAAACCUCUUUCAUCAGGGAGAAUAAUGAUGUUACCUGAAAAAGAAGUCCCGGCUAACUCUGUGCCAGCAGCCGCGGUAAUACAGGGGGGACGAGUGUUAUUCGGAGUGAUUAGGCGUAAAGGGUCCUUUAAGCGGAUUGAUCAGUUGGGGCAAGUAAGGAAAGAGCUCAACUCUUUUUGUUCCUCAAUACUGUCAUUCUAGAGUUUAUCAGGGUUUAGUAGAACUUACGGAGUAGGGAUAAAAUCCGUUAAUAUCGUAGGGAACACCGGUGGCGAAGGCGACUAUUCAUGAUAAGACUGACGCUGUAAGACGAAGGCGUGGGUAUCGAAUGGGAUUAGAGACCCCAGUAGUCCACGCAGUAAACGAUGAGCGCUAAUUGUUUAAUAACUGAUUUUAUUAAAUAAUAAAGCUAACGCGUUAAGCGCUUCGCCUGGGGAGUACAAUCGCAAGGUUGAAACUCAAAGAAAUUGGCGGGGAUUUAUACAAAUAGCGGAACAUGUGGUUUAAUUCGAUAAUACGCGAAAAACCUUACCGAUCCUUGACAUAUAUUGGUGCUUAGAAUGUGAAUUCUGGUGUUGUCAUGAUUAAUAUAAAUAGACCCUUGUCUUGUUAUAAACUUUGGUUCUAGAGGGUUUACCGCCUCUGUGAUGAUCCUAAAGUUUAUUGGUAUUAAAAAUGUUUCAAAUAUACAGGUGUUGCAUGGCCGUCGUCAGCUCGUGUCGUGAGAUGUUGGGUUAAGUCCUUUAACGAGCGCAACCUCU
rnacentral:rRNA from 1 species